rnacentral:rRNA from 1 species
ACGAUGAACCUCCUUCGGGAGGGGAUUAGUGGCGAACGGGUGAGUAACACGUGGGCAAUCUGCCCUUCACUCUGGGACAAGCCCUGGAAACGGGGUCUAAUACCGGAUACGACUGCGGAAGGCAUCUUCCGCGGUGGAAAGCUCCGGCGGUGAAGGAUGAGCCCGCGGCCUAUCAGCUUGUUGGUGGGGUAAUGGCCUACCAAGGCGACGACGGGUAGCCGGCCUGAGAGGGCGACCGGCCACACUGGGACUGAGACACGGCCCAGACUCCUACGGGAGGCAGCAGUGGGGAAUAUUGCACAAUGGGCGAAAGCCUGAUGCAGCGACGCCGCGUGAGGGAUGACGGCCUUCGGGUUGUAAACCUCUUUCAGCAGGGAAGAAGCGAAAGUGACGGUACCUGCAGAAGAAGCGCCGGCUAACUACGUGCCAGCAGCCGCGGUAAUACGUAGGGCGCAAGCGUUGUCCGGAAUUAUUGGGCGUAAAGAGCUCGUAGGCGGCCAGUCACGUCGGAUGUGAAAGCCCGAGGCUUAACCUCGGGUCUGCAUUCGAUACGGGCUGGCUAGAGUGUGGUAGGGGAGAUCGGAAUUCCUGGUGUAGCGGUGAAAUGCGCAGAUAUCAGGAGGAACACCGGUGGCGAAGGCGGAUCUCUGGGCCAUUACUGAC